GCCGAGGUAGCUCAGUGGCCUAGAGCAGCGGUUUUGUAACCCGCAGGUCGGUGGUUCAAAUCCACUCCUCGGCU
rnacentral:tRNA from 5 species